rnacentral:rRNA from 1 species
AACGAACGCUGGCGGCAUGCCUAACACAUGCAAGUCGAACGAGACCUUCGGGUCUAGUGGCGCACGGGUUCGUAACGCGUGGGAACCUGCCCUUAGGUUCGGAAUAACUCCCCGAAAGGGGUGCUAAUACCGGAUAAUGUCUUCGGACCAAAGAUUUAUCGCCUUUGGAUGGGCCCGCGUUGGAUUAGCUAGUUGGUAGGGUAAAAGCCUACCAAGGCGACGAUCCAUAGCUGGUCUGAGAGGAUGAUCAGCCACACUGGGACUGAGACACGGCCCAGAAUCCUACGGGAGGCAGCAGUGGGGAAUAUUGGACCAUGGGCGAAAGCCUGAUCCAGCAAUGAUGCGUGAGUGAUGAAGGCCUUAGGGUUGUAAAGCUCUUUUACCCGGGAUGAUAAUGACAGUACCGGGAGAAUAAGCUCCGGCUAACUCCGUG